GACGAACGCUGGCGGCGUGCUUGACACAUGCAAGUCGAACGGAAAGGCCUGCUUUCCCUUGUGGAUUGCGGGUACUCGAGUGGCGAACGGGUGAGUAACACGUGAGUGAUCUGCCCCCAACUUGGGUAUAAGCCUGGGAAACUGGGUCUAAUUCCCGAUAGGACUGCAGGGUGGUGCCUGUGGUGGAAAACGAUUUUCUAGUGGUUGGGGAUGAGCUCGCGGCCUAUCAGCUUGUUGGUGGGGUAAUGGCCUACCAAGGCGGCGACGGGUAGCCGGCCUGAGAGGGUGGACGGCCACAUUGGGACUGAGAUACGGCCCAGACUCCUACGGGAGGCAGCAGUGGGGAAUAUUGCACAAUGGGCGGAAGCCUGAUGCAGCGACGCCGCGUGGGGGAUGACGGCCUUCGGGUUGUAAACUCCUUUCGACCGCGAGGAAGCCACCUGGUUGGAAGGGUGGUGACGGUAGUGGUAGAAGAAGCACCGGGUAACUACGUG
rnacentral:rRNA from 1 species